CUUGGUCAUUUAGAGGAAGUAAAAGUCGUAACAAGGUCUCCGUAGGUGAACCUGCGGAGGGAUCAUUACAGAGUUCGUGCCCUCACGGGUAGAUCUCCCACCCUGUGUUAUUGUUACCUUUGUUGCUUUGGCGGGCCGCCAGGCCCCGGCCAGGCUACCGGCCCCCGCUGGUACGCGCCCGCCAAAGGACCCCAAACCCUGAACGUUAGUGUCGUCUGAGUACUAUACAAUAGUUAAAACUUUCAACAACGGAUCUCUUGGUUCUGGCAUCGAUGAAGAACGCAGCGAAAUGCGAUAAGUAAUGUGAAUUGCAGAAUCCAGUGAAUCAUCGAAUCUUUGAACGCACAUUGCGCCCCUUGGUAUUCCGAGGGGCAUGCCUGUCCGAGCGUCAUUUCAACCCUCAAGCACAGCUUGGUCUUGGGCUUCGCUGCUAACCCAGCGGGUCUUAAAAUCAGUGGCGGUGCCGUCGGGCCCUGAGCGCAGUAAUUCUUCUCGCUAUAGGGUCCCGGUGGAUACUGGCCAUCAACCCCCAAUCUUCUAUGGUUGACCUCGGAUCAGGUAGGGAUACCCGCUGAACUUAAGCAUAUCAAUAAGCGGAGGA
rnacentral:rRNA from 1 species